GAUGAACGCUGGCGGCGUGCCUAAUACAUGCAAGUCGAGCGAACGGACGCGAAGCUUGCUUCUCUGAUGUUAGCGGCGGACGGGUGAGUAACACGUGGAUAACCUACCUAUAAGACUGGGAUAACUUCGGGACACCGUAGCUAAUACCGGAUAAUAUUUUGAACCGCAUGGUUCAAAAGUGAAAGACGGUCUUGCUGUCACUUAUAGAUGGAUCCGCGCUGCAUUAGCUAGUUGGUAAGGUAACGGCUUACCAAGGCAACGAUGCAUAGCCGACCUGAGAGAGUGAUCGGCCACACUGGAACUGAUACACGGUCCAGACGCCUACGGGAGGCAGCAGUAGGGAAUCUUCCGCAAUGGGCGAAAGCCUGACGGAGCAACGCCGCGUGAGUGACGAAGGUCUUCGGAUCGUAAAACUCUGUUAUGAGGGAAGAACAUAUGUGGAAGGAACUGUGCACAGCGUGACGGUACCUAAUCAGAAAGCCACGGCUAACUACGUG
rnacentral:rRNA from 1 species